rnacentral:tRNA from 1 species
CAGCGUCUUGGCGAGGCCGGGCACGCCUUCGAGGAGGUUGUGGCCGCCGGCGAAGAUGGUGGUGAGGAGUUGUUCAAGCACCUCGCGCUGGCCA